rnacentral:tmRNA from 1 species
GGGCUUGUAUGGAUUUGACGGCAAGACGAAAUCGUAUGUAAGCACGCGGAGCCUCGUUGGCUAGCUCCUUAAUCUGAGUGAACACAAAUUUAAUUGGCGAAAACAACUACGCUCUCGCUGCCUAAUUGAAGUAUAGUAGAUUACUGGCUUAAUCCCUGCGCCAGGCGCGGGGACGAGACAUCGCUCCGAGGAUCGUUUUCCGAAUCCAAAGAUUCAGCGGUGCAGACUUCUUCGGAAAUAGUCAAGGAUGGCCCCACAUUCUUGAUGAAAAGCUUUAGGGGAUAAGACGGCAGUUGGUGGUCCAGGUCUUGCUGCCGUACGAAAAUGAAGGCUGGAAUAAGCGUGUAGAAAGCGUAUGGCUUCCUUGUUCGGACCGGGGUUCGACUCCCCGCAGGUCCACU